rnacentral:rRNA from 1 species
AUACGGAGGGUGCGAGCGUUGUUUGGAAUUAUUGGGCGUAAAGAGCAUGUAGGCGGUCUGUUAAGUCUGGUGCGAAAGCCCGGGGCUCAACCCCGGAAGUGCAUUGGAUACUGGCAGACUUGAGUAUGGGAGAGGAAAGCGGAAUUCCGAGUGUAGGCGUGAAAUCCGUAGAUAUUCGGAGGAACACCAGUGGCGAAGGCGGCUUUCUGGGCCAAUACUGACGCUGAGAUGCGAAAGCGUGGGGAGCAAACAGGAUUAGAAACCCGGGUAGUCC